GGGCGAUUAGCUCAGUUGGGAGAGCACCUGCCUUACAAGCAGGGGGUCACUGGUUCGAGCCCGGUAUCGCCCA
rfam:Vibrio splendidus LGP32 chromosome 2